UGAAAGCGCGGAAGACGAAAUGAACCAAUGUAGCGAAACCAAAUCAGAUAAAUAUUUAUAGAAAGUCGGCAUGAAGUCUGUGGUGCUUUUCAAAUUGAAUGAAAAAAAUAUCGAAAUAUAUCGAAAUAGGAACAUAUAAAGACCGCUGCCUCACGAAAAGUCGGAUUGUUUUAAAUAUCAUAACAUUUUGCUGGCGAUUCCAAAAAUAUCCGAGUUCAUGCACACGUAUAGUGUAUCGAACUGUUUUCCACCGUCCAACGAUACGAUGUUAUAAAACGCGAGCAAAAUAUAAUAUCGUUAAUAAGCAUUAGCUAAUGAUUCCGACACCUCAUUAUGCGUGUUAUUAGCGUAGGUGGCAUUCAAAUUUCAUCGAUGUUACAUCAUCGUUUUAUAAAAAAGUAUUUCCCAUGCGUUUACACGAAUACACUAUUAAUAUUGUUGUGUUUUAAAUACCAGCUCGAAGCCUCGAAGAAGAAUCGCGCGAACAACUUUCGGGCAGGCCUAAGACGAUAAAUCCCAUACUCAAUUUUUGAGAGGGGGGGGGGUUGGAAGAUUUCGAAAAAAAUUUCCUGCAAUCCAAGGAGAAAGAGAAAAAAAUCAUGCAGCAUACAAUCGAGAAAUAAAAAUAUCAUGCAAAA